AUGAAGGUCAAAAUUCUUCAGUGGCAUGCGGUGGCUUCUUGGACAUGGGACGCACAGGAUGAGACAUGUGGCAUAUGCAGGAUGGCUUUUGACGGCUGCUGCCCUGACUGUAAGUUCCCUGGUGAUGAGUGCCCAAUCAUCUGGGGUGCCUGCAACCAUGCUUUCCAUCUUCACUGCAUACUCAAGUGGGUCAAUUCUCAAACAUCAACCCCCCUUUGCCCCAUGUGCCGUAGGGAGUGGCAGUUCAAGGGCUAA
rnacentral:rRNA from 1 species